GUUUCACAGGUUUCUCUCCCUUCUGAGCAACGGCAGCCGGCCCCUCCAGACGAUGGCCAUUCCUGUUGCCUUGGUCCGCAGGAACGAUGGGUUAUGCAUGAACUUUGUAGAACAUGGCCUUGUCUUCACCAACGCGGAGGAGAGCCCGUUCGGUUCCAGAGAGGAUGCUGCCUCAUCUCGUCUCUAAAAGAGGAGGAAGGGGAGCAGGUCCCUUCACGUUCUCUGGUCUCAGCUGAGAACUCUCCCUGGAAGUAGCGGGCCGUGAAAUGUUUCACAAGGUAGCAUCUCCCUCUAGUGGCCACCAUGGUCUAUUUCAAGAUGCUUUCCUCCCUUCCCCUGGCCCUCGCUUCUCAAGGUUUUUUUUUUUUUUUUUUUUCCCCCACCUCAAAAAGAUCCACUGAGAUGUGACAGGGUGAGCUGUAGAUUGCAAAGUCCCCUAUCUGGCCUUCUGACUAAAAUGAACUGAUUCUGCAAUGGUGACUGGUGAGACAGAACUCAGAUUCAAUUUCUAUGUUUCUCAUGAUUAUCCUAAGCCAAAAUUUGCAAAUGGUUAUACACAUGUUAAUUAGUAUUAUUCCCAGAAACUGUAAAAUAAUUGUUCUUCUUUUA
rnacentral:lncRNA from 1 species